UGUUGGACCCUGCAUCUGGGACUUCUGCGCUCAGGAACGUUUAACUUUGGUGAGCUGUUUGGGACCUUUCUGCUGUUUGGGACCUCAUUCGGUACUGGAAAUGUUAUUCUCUGCGAGAGGACGAGAAGGGAACCUAGAGCAUUAGGUGAACUACGAGCCUCCCAGAACGACGCUCACACGGUCCCAAACUACAAUCAAAAAGAUAGUCUUUGGAUUGAUCAUGACUCACAUGGGACGGUGAAGAUUUGAAAAAAGUGAGGAGCAGUUUCCAGGCCAGCAGGUAUCCCAGGAUGCAGGAGUACUCCACACUGAGAGGCUGCACGACUGCAAACUCUCCCACUUGAACCCCAGCCAAGAUACUAUCGCACAGUUCCUCACAGGUCGACAGGAUGGCCAUUAGAGACGCUGGAGGGGAACUAAACACAGAAAUGAAACAGAACUACAUGGCUCAUCUCUAUCAUCGUCAGACUUGUUGUUGUCUCCUUCACCAUCACACUCGGGCAGAUGAGGCAUCACCCUGUAUCGACAAAAAAACUUCCCAGAGUUGAGAAGAUGUGCUAGUCUUUCCUCCAGGGCCGUCCUGUCACUCGGUAGCAGCAGGGAGAGCAGUCUCUUCACCCCCAACAGAGAGCUGAAGCUGAGAGCCUCAGGCUGUUUGCUGGGGGAGAACGCAGCCUGGAAGGCCUGGCAGGCAGCAGAGGCUGCAGGUGUGUAAGUGUCACACUGGGACAGAAUCCAGUGGCCCAUCAAGCUCUUCAGAAAGGGGGCCAAGCUGCGACGCACUUUCAGCACCAGCUGCUCAAAGGCCUGCUGGGUGGCCUCCCUGAUCCGGCGAUCAUGGUCCUGAUAGACAUGAUGAUGAAGACAAAAUUAUCCUAAUGUAGACACACCCCGAACACUUGCACAAAUUAAAGUGUCAUUAAAAUGAAAUCUGUAAUUUGAGUGUGCUAUCAUCCAGUCUGAGUUAUUCCCAAUCAUUUGAAAUGGCAUACUUUCAAUGGUAGGCCAGAUUGGAUUGAUCAAGAAUGUAUAAUAGUAGCUUGAGUGCUUGUUUUUUUUUGUUACAGAUGCAUUGUUUCCAGAAUGUAAAAUAAUAAUAAAUAAUUUGACAAUGAUACAGAAAGAGAUAUUUGAUGAAUGCGAGGUGAAUGAACAUCUCACCACAGAUAUCUUGCAGUAAAUCCUCGGCCAGUACGGCAGGACACCUUUGACCUCUUCGGCAUCCCGUUCCUGACACAUGGAUCCAAAGUCCUGCACAGCCUGAGGUAAGUAUAAAGCAUUAAGACACACACCUGGACCAAAAAGCCCUUGAAGUGAGUUACAUAAAGUGGUAUGUUGUAGCAUUAUAUAUAUUUAUAUGGGUGUUAUAUGUGAUCGGAUGUGCAAGACCAUUAAGUUAGUACAAGUUUUAAACUCACUUUCAGUCUGGUAACAACAUCCCUCUUUGACAGUUUCCUGAGCACCAGGCGGAAAUCUGCAUCUACCAGGUUGUCGAUCUCCUCCGCUCCGUGGACAGCCGGGACAUAACUCAGCUCCGAGUUGACCGUCGUGUCGAAGCCCACAAAGCCCGGGAUGACGCCACCCUCCCGGGUAAGUGCCUCCGCAGCUCGGCCGCUACUGGACGGCUAAUAGUGGCAGGGAAACAUGUAUCAUCUCAUUAAACAUUAGCCAGACGAAAACGUGGUGGCCCCAAAACAGCUGGGACACACGUAGCCUAAACUAGCUGUGAACGUGAAGUUUACAUUAGCUUGUGCUCGUGUUGGUUGCUAGCAAUCUCACUUUAACACUGUACCGUUAGCUAAGGGCAGACAAUACAGUACUAUACAGACAUUAGUACCUACCCGGACAUUUCCUUUAGUUCGUUGUUUAUUCUUACCGCCCAUUGAUACGCAUUAAUGUUAAAAGUAUCAAAUGGUACAGAGUGAAAAGACACGGGGCGUACUCAUAUGACGGAACUGACGACUUCCUGUCUCAACCUUUCAAAAUAAAGCAGCUUCCACUUUAUGAAUAUUUUCUGACUGUUAAUAAUAAAACGCAGCUUUCCUCUAUUCUUUUCCCACAGUCAUACAGCAAUCAUUUAUUCACCAACUGACAAAUA